rnacentral:rRNA from 1 species
UACGGAGGGUGCAAGCGUUGCUCGGAAUCAUUGGGCGUAAAGCGUACGCAGGCUGUUCGUUAAGUCGGGUGUGAAAGCCCGGGGCUCAACCCCGGAACUGCGCCCGAAACUGGCGAGCUUGAGUGCGGGAGAGGAAAGCGGAAUUCCUGGUGUAGAGGUGAAAUUCGUAGAUAUCAGGAGGAACACCGGUGGCGAAAGCGGCUUUCUGGCCCGACACUGACGCUCAUGUACGAAAGCGUGGGGAGCAAACAGGA